rnacentral:rRNA from 1 species
GACGAACGCUGGCGGCGUGCUUAACACAUGCAAGUCGAACGGAAAGGCCCUGCUUGCAGGGUACUCGAGUGGCGAACGGGUGAGUAACACGUGGGUGAUCUGCCCUGCACUUCGGGAUAAGCCUGGGAAACUGGGUCUAAUACCGGAUAGGAGCCAUUUUUAGUGUGAUGGUUGGAAAGUUUUUUCGGUGUAGGAUGAGCUCGCGGCCUAUCAGCUUGUUGGUGGGGUAAUGGCCUACCAAGGCGGCGACGGGUAGCCGGCCUGAGAGGGUGGACGGCCACAUUGGGACUGAGAUACGGCCCAGACUCCUACGGGAGGCAGCAGUGGGGAAUAUUGCACAAUGGUCGCAAGCCUGAUGCAGCGACGCCGCGUGGGGGAUGACGGCCUUCGGGUUGUAAACUCCUUUCGCUAGGGACGAAGCUUUUUGUGACGGUACCUAGAUAAGAAGCACCGGCUAACUACGUG